GUAGGUGGCAAGCGUUGUCCGGAAUUAUUGGGCGUAAAGCGCGCGCAGGCGGUUCUUUAAGUCUGAUGUGAAAGCCCACGGCUCAACCGUGGAGGGUCAUUGGAAACUGGAGAACUUGAGUACAGAAGAGGAAAGCGGAAUUCCACGUGUAGCGGUGAAAUGCGUAGAGAUGUGGAGGAACACCAGUGGCGAAGGCGGCUUUCUGGUCUGUAACUGACGCUGAGGCGCGAAAGCGUGGGGAGCAAACAGGAUUAGAUACCCUGGUAGUCCACGCCGUAAACGAUGAGUGCUAAGUGUUUGGGGGGUUUCCGCCCCCCUUAGUGCUGCAGCUAACGCAUUAAGCACUCCGCCUGGGAGUACGGCCGCAAGGCUG
rnacentral:rRNA from 1 species